rnacentral:lncRNA from 1 species
UUUUAAAAUGACACCAAACGCACAAACCAUGAAUAAAAAAAAAGAAAACGGAUUCAUGUCUCUCUAUAAACAUUAAAAAUAAACAUAUUGACAAUGCCCUAAAAAUAAAAUGUGUAUUUUAAAAGAACAAUGUAGAACAUUGAAAUAUAUUAAAUAAGAGGCUUUUUUAAUUCUUCAAACAUCCUACAGAUCCCAGAUAUUAAAAAAUGGACAAAGAAUAAAAGUUUAGAAAAUAAAGGAGAAAAAAUAUGAAAAUAUGAAUGGCUAAUAAGUAAUACACAUAUUCAAUUUCAUUAAGAAUUCCAAGUAAUGGAUAUGAGACUACGUAACAUUCAUUCUAUCUAUCAAAAUAACACAGUUUUAAAACUUUUUAUUACAAACAUUUCAGACAUAAAGAGAAUAUGCAGUGAAACUCCAUGCACCCAUUCCAAGCCUUGGGGCUGUCAAUUUUAUCCAUUUUUAUCCAUUUUUUAUUCAUUUUUCACUUAAAUCCCAGAAAUCAUGUCAUUUCAGCUGUAAAUGUUUGUACAUGUGUCCUUAACUGACAAGAACUUUUUUUUUUUUAACAUAGCAAGGAUUUUCUCACGCAGCUAAAGGGAACAUUGCUAAGCAAAGGCCUCCAGAAAAGUCCCACAGUCCUGCGUGGGUAGAGAAUCCCACGGCGCAUUUUAACCAGGAAUUGUAACAACCACACAAAUAAAAUAAAGAAAUAGAACACUGGCAGCUCUGCGGAAGCUCCUGUAGUCAUCUCUCCAAAUCGCUACUGGCCUUCCCCUCCAAAUGAAAUUGCCAUCCUCACUUUGUGGCAGUCCGUUCUCCGAGCACCUCUUCCUUUUCAGGCGGGUCUGUAAUUCUAGAGUGUGUGUAGUAGUAUUGCCCUGGAGUCUUCAGUUACAUUUCUCUAGUUACUAAUGAGGUUGGACUCCAUUAAAAUUGUUUUUCUAAGUGGUAUUCACAUAUUCUGUCCAAUUUUCUUUUCAGCUGUCUUUUGUUUUUAAUUUAAAUAAACGUUGAAUAUUAGCCUUUGUUGGGUAAAUGUGUUAAAAAUAUUUUCUCCCUAUUUAUGUUUUUUUUUUUCUUUUUUCUUUAUGGUUAAAACUUUUGUGUCUUGCUUAACAAGCCCUUCUUUCCUUUUAUGAAGUAAGAAAGAUACUCUCCUAUUGUUUCUUCUAUCCAUUUUAUGAUUUGACAUUUGACAUACAGAUCUAUAAUCUAUCAGGAAUUGUUGUGUGUAUAGCAUUAGGCAGAGUCGAGUUUCACUGUUUGCUCCACAUGGAUAGCAAUCAAUUAUUCUUCCCCAGUGCUCUCACAUGCCAAUUUUGUCAUAAAUUAAGUGGCUAAUUAUGCAAGCUGGAGUAAUAUUAUUUUCUUUCUCCUUCCUUCCUAUUCUCUGAAAGCGUGUACGUGACAUUGGAGUUAUUUAAUCCUUAGAAUUUUGGAAACAUUUAGUGGAGAAACCAUCUGAUUCUGGAAUUUUCCUUGUAGGAAGGCAUUCAAUUACAAAUUCCAUUAAUUUAACAUUUACGGUGUUAUUUAGCUUUCCUACUUCUUUUGUCCAUUUUCGUUAGUUCUUUUUUUUUUAAGAAUGUAUUUGUUUAUGUAAAUUUGUAAAUUUAUCUUGGUGUAAAACUGUUUGUAAUAUUCUCUUACUAUUUUUAAUUUCAGCCAGAUCUGUAUUGAUGUCCCCUUUUCAAUCUAAAAUCUGUUAUUUGUGCCAAUUUUCUCUAUUUCUCUAUCCCCUUGCAAGAAAAUUUUCAAUCUUAUUGUUUUCAAAGAUAAUUUUUUAAAAGAUAAACAACUUUCUCUUUCCUUCCUUUCUAUCCCUUCACAUUAUUUUAUUUGUUUUAUAUUUCAAUAACUUAUGUUCUUAUUAUCACUAUCAUAUCUUUCCUUCCAUUUUCAUAGUAUUUAGUUUUUGUUCUGUUUCUAAUUUCUAGACCCUUUUAACACUCAUCGUAUUUGUUCUCUUGUGAUGCAAAGGUUUGAAGCCAUACAUUUCCAUUUCUUAAGAGAUCUUUUGCAGUAACAUGGAUGGAACUGGAGGCCAUUAUCUUAGGUGAAAUAACUAAGACACAGAAAGAAAAAUGCUACAUGUUCUCACUUAUAAGUGGGAGCUAAAUAACGUGUACACUUGGGCACAGAGUGUGGAAUAAUAGACACUGGAGACUCAGAAGGGUGGCAAGGUGGGAGGAUGGGAUGGAAUGAAGCAUAUGAAACGACUUAAUCAGGACAAUAUAUACUAUUCAGUUGAUGUGGACACUAAAAGCCCAGCCAUGGCCACGAUGCCAUACAGCCACAUAUUGACCAUACCGACACUGUACCCGAGCCCCUUCCACUCAUACACAAAAGACAUUAGACAUGUCCUAAAAGUUCUGUUGUCAUAUUUGCAUUGUCAUUAGUUAAAAUAUUUUGCUUUUUAAUUUAUUUUGUGAUUUCUUCUUGAAUACAUUGAUUACUUAGAGAUUUUAUUUUAUCUUAUUUUUUUAGACAAAGUCUGGCUCUGUCACCCAGGCUGGAGUGCAGUGGCGCGAUCAGGGCUCACUGCAAACUCCGCCUCCUGGGUUCAAGCAAUUCUCCUACCUCAGCUUUCCGAGUCGCCGGGAUUAAAGGCAUAUACCACCAAGCCCAGCUGAUUUUUGUAUUUUUAGUAGAGAUGGGGGUUUCACCAUGUUGGCCAGGCUGGUCUCGAACUCCUGACCUCAGGUGAUCUGCCUGCCUCGGCCUCCCAAAGUGCUGGGAUUGCAGGCGUGAGCCACCGCGCCUGGCCUAGAGAUGUAAUUUUUGACGUUCAAAUAUAUGAGCACUGUUUUUGCUGCUUUUUAAUAUUUGCACAUUGUAUCUUUUUCUUUUCUAUCCCUUUACAUUUACUCUUUCAGAAUCCUUAUGUUUUACUGUUUUCAGAAAACUUAGUUUUUAAAAUAUUCUGCUAAUCAUUUUUCAUAUAAGUUUACAUUAAAUAAGCCUUUUAAAGUUUAUUAUAAUUAAAUAAAGUUUAUUUUCACAUGUGUUUUCAUAUCUACUGUCUCAGAACUUUCUCCUUGCCCUAUUUUUCCUAUUUUAUCCCCUUUUUGCAUCUUUUGAGUUGACUUUUUAUGAUUUUAUUUUUCUCUCUUUACUAGUUUGGAUAUUAUCUACCCCACUAAUAUUCUUUCAGGGGUUACCUUUGAGGUUACAACUGGCAAGGUAGGUUUAUCAGUGUAUAAUAUUAAAUAUUAUUUUACCCCUCCAAAUUUUACUGCCUUUUUAGUUAUUCUUUAUUCUUUCCUUUAUCUCUAAGCAUUCUGAGUCUGUCAGUGUUUAAUUCCUUUCAUUUUUAUUUUUUUUCCUAAAAAUAUCCUUAACUCCCUUUCAUUAUUACAGGAAUUUUUGGGGGGCAGUUAUUUUAUUUGAGCAUGUUAACUAUGUUAUUUCAUUGUCUUUGGACUUCAGUUGCUACUUUUCGAAGAUAGUACAUAUUUUUACCUCUAACUGCUUUUAAAAUUAAUUCUCGGUCUUUAUUUUAUAGGUGUUUUACUAUGAUACACCUAGGAAAGUUUUAUGUAUCCUACUUAGGCUUUGCAAAGGUUUCUGUUUCAUUUUUACAAACGUUGGAUUGAUUAUGGUGUAAUUUAGAGACAGUGAGAUUCACCUUUUUUAGACAUACACAUCUGUGCAUCUGCAGACAUGAGCACUCCAGGUUGUCUAUAACACCACAUGUCCUUCUGAACUUCAUCUCCUGCCAUUACGCCCAGCCUCCAGCAACCACUCAGCUGUUUUCUGUCUCCAGCUUUGCUUUUCCCCAAAUGUUACAUAAGCAGGAUCACACUUAGUCUUUUGAUUUUUUUUUUUUAACCUCAACACAAUGCUUUAGCCAUCCCUUUUUUUUAUGAUGCUCAUUAUAGUUGAUCACUCUUAUUUAUUGCAGGCUUCAUCCAUGUGCUAGUUCAGCCUGUGAGAUGCUGGUGAGCCCACCUCCAGGCACUCACGGACUCCCCACCCAUUGAGUGUGGCCUGGAUUUAGUGACUCAAUCAAACGUGACAGAGUGCUGGGGUGUCAUUUUCAAGACUGGGUUAUGUGAAGACUGCAGCCUCCAUCUGGGGUGCUCUCUCUUGGAUUGCUUGCUCAGGGAUGUGGGGAGAGCUGCUGUGCUGGGAGGCUGCCCAUGUGAGUUGACUUGGAUGUGAACCUUCUGUGGCCUGCCAAUAGCCACGUGAGUGACCUUGAAAAUGGAUCAGCCUUCACUCAAGUCUCAAGAUGACUGUGGUCUUGGCUGACAGCUUGAUUGCUGUCUCAUGGGGGACCUUAAACCAAAGGCACCCUGCUAAGCCACACACAGCUUCCUGGCCCACAGAAACUAUGAAAUAAUAACCAUUUCUUAUAUAAGCCUCCAAGUUUUGGGAGUAAUAUUUUGCACAGUGAUGGAUCACUAAUACAAGCCAGUCAUCAGUUGAAAGACACUGAAUUUAUUUCCAGUUUUAUGUGAUUAUGAAUAAUGUCACCAUAUGCAUUUGCAUACAGGUGUUUGUGUGGACACUGCUGUCAUUUCUCUUGGGAAGAUACUGAGGAGUCAGAUUGCUGGAUCCCGUGAAGAAUGUGCACCUGGGAUUGGCUCUUGCUUCCUAAGGAACCUCAAAAAAGCUGCAACCUAUUGGAGACUUUUGAUUCAGCAUCAAGGAUAUGCGUGAGACUUUGGUUCUUUUCUGUUGGGACACAGUUGAUUCUGACUGUCUUAAAGUUAGGCUUUUCUAAAGAUUUAGACUAAUAAAUUAUUUGAAUGGGACAACACACAUCAUUUGCUUUAUUAUACUUUAAAUAUGGCAGAACGGUGUAUUACCACCCCAAUCCCAAUCACCGGUACCUCCAUAGGCAGAGAUGUUAUCCUUAUUUUGCUGAAGAAGGAAUUAGGGUUACUCAGAGUCAUGCAGUUGGAAAGAGAUAGAAU